GACGAACGCUGGCGGCGUGCUUAACACAUGCAAGUCGAGCGGAGCGGCGAACGGGUGCGUAACGCGUGAGUAACUGCCCCCCUCUCUGGGAUAACAGUUGGAAACGGCUGCUAAUACCGGAUCGUGGGGGAUGACUCGCGUCCUAUCAGCUUGUUGGUGGGGUAGUGGCAUACCAAGGCGACGACGGGUAGCCGGCCUGCGCGGGCGACCGGCUACAUUGGGUGGAGAGACGGCCCAAACUCCUACGGGAGGCAGCAGUGGGGAAUAUUGCACAAUGGGGGAAACCCUGAUGCAGCAACGCGCGUGCGGGAGGACGUCCUUCGGGUUGUAAACCGCUUUCAGCCAUGACGCGGUAGUGGCAGAAGAAGCACCGGCUAACUACGGGCCAGCAGCCGCGGUAAUAC
rnacentral:rRNA from 1 species